rnacentral:rRNA from 1 species
UACAGAGGGUGCAAGCGUUGCUCGGAUUUACUGGGCGUAAAGCGUACGCAGACGGUAAGGCAGGUCGAAUGUGAAAGCCCCGGGCUCAACCCGGGAAAUGCAUCCGAAACCACCUUGCUCGAGUAUGAGAGAGGGAAGCGGAAUUCCUGGUGUAGAGGUGAAAUUCGUAGAUAUCCGGAGGAACACCGGUGGCGAAGGCGGCUUCCUGGACCGACACUGACGCUGAGGCGCGAAAGCUAGGGGAGCAAACGGG